GGGCCCGUCGUCUAGCGGUUAGGAUGCCACCCUGUCAAGGUGGAGGUCGCGGGUUCGAAUCCCGUCGGGCCCG
rnacentral:tRNA from 1 species